rnacentral:rRNA from 1 species
ACGCUCGACACCUACGGGAGGCGGCAGUGGGGAAUAUUGCACAAUGGGGGAAACCCUGAUGCAGCAACGCCGCGUGAAGGAAGACGGUUUUCGGAUUGUAAACUUCUGUUCUUAGUGAAGAUAGUGACGGUAGCUAAGGAGCAAGCCACGGCUAACUACGUGCCAGCACGCCGACGGUAAUCUGGAGGCGGGCGUGGACGAAGGC